GACGAACGCUGGCGGCGUGCUUAACACAUGCCAGUCGAACGGAAAGGCCCUGCUUUUGUGGGGUGCUCGAGUGGCGAACGGGUGAGUAACACGUGAGUAACCUGCCCUUGACUUUGGGAUAACUUCAGGAAACUGGGGCUAAUACCGGAUAGGAGCUCCUGCUGCAUGGUGGGGGUUGGAAAGUUUCGGCGGUUGGGGAUGGACUCGCGGCUUAUCAGCUUGUUGGUGGGGUAGUGGCUUACCAAGGCUUUGACGGGUAGCCGGCCUGAGAGGGUGACCGGCCACAUUGGGACUGAGAUACGGCCCAGACUCAUACGGGAGGCAGCAGUGGGGAAUAUUGCACAAUGGGCGGAAGCCUGAUGCAGCAACGCCGCGUGCGGGAUGACGGCCUUCGGGUUGUAAACCGCUUUCGCCUGUGACGAAGCGUGAGUGACGGUAAUGGGUAAAGAAGCACCGGCUAACUACGU
rnacentral:rRNA from 1 species